rnacentral:rRNA from 1 species
CCUACGGGUGGCAGCAGUGAGGAAUAUUGGUCAAUGGGCGCGAGCCUGAACCAGCCAAGUCGCGUGAGGGAAGACGGUCCUAUGGAUUGUAAACCUCUUUUGUCGGUGAGCAAAAGACGCCACGCGUGGCGUUCCGAGAGUACCCGAAGAAAAAGCAUCGGCUAACUCCGUGCCAGCAGCCGCGGUAAUACGGAGGAUGCGAUCGUUAUCCGGUUUUAUUGGGUUUAAAGGGUGCGCAGGUGGAAGCUCAGGGCAGCGGUAAAAUUGAGGGGCUAAACCGCUUCGAGACGUUGAAACUGGUUUUCUUGAGUGAGUGAGGAGUAUGCGGAAUGCGUGGUGUAGCGGUGAAAUGCAUAGAUAUCACGCAGAACUCCGAUUGCGAAGGCAGCAUACCGGCGCUCAACUGACGCUCAUGCACGAAAGUGUGGGUAUCGAACAGGAUUAGAUACCCGAGUAGUC